CGAGCGUGUGCGUGCGCGUUGCGGUCGCACAGCCAAGCUUCGGAGAAAGAAAAUGAACUCCGCGGUGGUUAUCGCGGCGCUAUGAGCCGUAAAUCCAAAUGUUUUCGUCGCUUGUGAGUGAAUAGAAAUCGAUUGGAUCGGUCGGGAUGGAGGUCAGCGCGUCCAGGAACGAGUCCGGGAUCGCACCAGAGCUGUACUUCCUGAUCGCGAAGUUCUUGGCGGCGGGACCCUGCGCGGAAGCCGCGGCGGCGCUGAAGCGGGAAUUAGAGCAUACCAAGACUUUGCCGUCCCGAAUCGACUGGGAAGGACACGUGCACAAUCAAACGUUCGAGGAAUUGG